GAUGAACGCUGGCGGCGUGCCUAAUACAUGCAAGUCGAACGAACAGACGAUGAGCUUGCUACACUGACGUUGGAGGCGGACGGGUGAGUAGCACGUGGAUAACCUACCUAUAGGACUAGGAUAACUUCGGGAAACCGGAGCUAAUAACGGAUAAUAUAUUCAACGGCAUGGUUCGAUAGUGAAAGACGGUUUGGCUGGACCUGCUGCCUGGCUCCGCGCCGCUUUAGCUAGUUGGUAAGGUAACGGCUUCCCAAGGCAGGGAUGCGUAGCCGACCUGAGAGGGGGAUCGGCCACACUGGAAGUGAGACACGGUCCAGACUCCUACGUGAGGCAGCAGUAGCGACGCGUGCGCGAUGGGCGAAAGCCUGACGGAGCAACGCCGCGCGAGUGCUGAAGGGCUUCGGAUCGGAAAACUCUGUUAGUAGUGAAGAACAAAUGUGGCAGUAACUAUGCACGUCGUGACGGUACCUGAACAGAAAGCACCGGCUAACUACGUG
rnacentral:rRNA from 1 species